AUGUCUGGUCGAUCAAGAACAGGAGAGGGCGACCUCCCUCAUCCUCAAAACCCUAAAAUUCACUAAACCCACAAAUUGAAGGCUCAAUCCAAGUUGAAAUCAAAAUCUGAACAUGGAAUCUUUGACGCUAAACGAGCUAGGUGGAAGCUUGAGGACGAAGCGGGUCAAACAAAUCAAUAAGGAAAAGUAAGGCAUAGUUUGGAUGCGAGGUAAGUAAAGCUUACACCUUUAUCGUAGGAUAUGUAUUUAUCUAUAGAUUAUAAAUACGACCAGGUUAUAUUCAAAUUAUGAUUUUGACACGAAAAGAUACGGGUCGGAACGUAUCAAAAGACGAAAAACCAUGUUUAAUGGUAAAAAUGGGUGAAAUGGUAAUUUGGUCAUGGGAUGACAUAAAUAAAAAUGAGUUUUUGAAUGGCUACUUUCUAAGUAAGCUUAAACGAAUAAAAAGGGUAAAAUGGUGAUCUAGUCAAAUAUAAGCGCGAAAUGUUUGGUCGUUUAGACCAAACGGGUCAAAUGGUAAUGUUGAUACCAUUUAACAAUUAACGACUAAUAAGUGUUUGUGGAGUUUUAUGCACACAGGAUAAAUCGGCCUAUGAAUUAGCGAUGCUAUGAAUUAGCGAUUAUUGAGACAAGGUAUUAAAACGGGUCAAUAUGUUGAUCCGAACCAGGUGAAUGUUAUAUGCUUCCGCAUGAAGAUCAAGCCACAAGCAAGAACCGAACACACCUCUCAAUGAAGCUUCCGCAUUCGAUCUAGUUUUCUUUUAAUAAAAGUGGAUUAUGUAAACACUUUUAACGAUGUUUUGGAUGUUGUAAACAUGUUUAAAUACUUAUGAUGUAAAAGUUUUUGUUAAGUGGCAUUUUUCAUAUAAAAUGCUUACUUUAAUGUUAUGUAAAUGUUAAAAAU
rnacentral:lncRNA from 1 species